rnacentral:sRNA from 12 species
CAUGAUUAGAUUAGUCUAUCUAGGAUUGUUUAGAGGGUAGUCGCAGUCGCCCCAACUCUGACUUAGAAUAAAAUAGUUUUUUGUUUUGUAAGUAGGGUGAGAAACAACAAAUAUAUUGUUGGAAACUUUGAUUUUUCUUAAUAAAUUAGAGAACUGU